AGUCCCUUAAAACAGAAACACAAUUACUUUUAUUAUCAAAAGGCAAUAUAACAACUGACCCUCCCUAAUUUUGCUUUUGUGCUUAGCGUUCACCAAACAAGUGCCCUGCUUCAAAUUAAACCCCUCUCACAGCUAAAAUAAUGAAUACCUAAGCGCCCAACCCCCACUCUUGCGACUAAAUAAAAAUAAAAAGGGCCAAUAAACAAGCAUUUACAGCAACUUAAAUUUCAAUUUUGGAGUAAAUAGUGAUGCAAUGUAUUUUUGUGAGCUGUAAUACUAGUAAAAGAUAACAUGUGUAUACUAACUGUUUGUGAUGUUCCAGAGAAACGAAGGAUAAGACCAAUCUGGUAGGCCAAGGCUGACAUGUGCAUGCACCGGUUACGAAGAAUGGUUGCUGCAACAGUAGCCACAACUGUAUAGUCAGGGUUCUCAUCUGAUGCCCUCUGACGCUUCUUGGUUUUUGACCAGCAUAUGCAGUCUAGCAGUUCAGUUGUUAAUGGUGCUCUGGUCUUUAAUUCCUCAAUAAAAUCAGAGAGUUUAAAUAAUGGCAGUGAAUCAUGACGAGUAAGCCUCAGAGUGCUGGGUGACUUAGUUGAGCUGAGAUCCAACAACUAUUCUUCUAUUCUUUUGAAGACAAUCUUCUUCGCCACCAAACAAUCAGUAGCCUUGCCAAGCAGGGUAGACAGAGCAAGCUGAUUAAGCCCCAAAGCCAAGUACUUUACUACACACGCAAUAUGCUCAUCUUUGAUCUCGAUUUUCCUUGGACCUGAGGGGUAGUAAACUGUUAUCUACAAUGAAAGGAGAGAUUCAUGUUUUCUUGUCCUUUAUCAUUAUAACAGAUCAUUUUUUUUACAACUGAGAGAAAUAAAGGAGAAGAAAGCCUCUGAUAGCAGUAUACGCCUUGACGCUGCACUUCAACUUCAACAGCAGAAACGAAACAUUUUUGGGUGGCCUAAAGCCAAUGUCCAGUCCAGAACUACUAUGAUUGCAAAUCAUUGCCCAAGAAAAAAAAAUGGAUUGCUUCAUUAUUUUAAACCAAGGCAAACACAGCCCCGGAUGAGACACAGAGAUUCCUUAGAAAUCAGUGGGCUACAUUGAACACUUACAGUGUACUUACGCAGUGUACUUACAUGCAGAAGCUAUUGUUAGGGAUAACCAGGAGAUCAUAAAUUCUUUAUAGUUCACUAUAUGUUAAUACAUGAGCAGUAAUCUUUUCAGUAGCUAUUAUCAUGGCCAUCACUUAGACCCAAAUAGCUUACUGCGUACGUACAGGCAUGCAGCUCGGGGUAGGCACACGGGUUGUGCCCCUCCCACUCAACCACCAAAAAGUAGUCUUUUUUAAAAAUAUACUUACUUUCCAUAAUAUCUAUGACUGCACAUCCCCUCCACAGCUAAUCAGAUUGUUUAUUAUGGUUAUCAGACUUCACCUUUUCUUUUCUAGACAUACAAUGGCUUCAAUUAAAUAAUUUCUUUUGUUUAAUAAAAUAAGACUACAAGC